UACAGAGGGGGCAAGCGUUGUUCGGAAUUACUGGGCGUAAAGGGCGCGUAGGCGGCCUGCUAAGUCGAACGUGAAAUCCCUGGGCUCAACCCAGGAACUGCGUCCGAUACUGGUUGGCUUGAAUCCGGGAGAGGGAUGUGGAAUUCUUGGUGUAGCGGUGAAAUGCGUAGAUAUCAAGAGGAACACCUGAGGUGAAGACGGGUUGCUGGGCUGACACUGACGCUGAGGCGCGAAAGCUAGGGUAGCAAACGGG
rnacentral:rRNA from 1 species